AACGCGAAGAACCUUACCAAGGUUUGACAUCCUGUGAAGGUCUCUGAAAGGAGACUGUGCCUUCGGGAAUACAGUGACAGGUGAUGCAUGGCCGUCGUCAGCUCGUGUCGUGAGAUGUUUGGUUAAGUCCAUCAACGAGCGCAACCCUUAUAGUUAGUUGUUUUUCUAGCUAGACUGCCCUGGUAACAGGGAGGAAGGAGGGGAUGAUGUCAGGUCAGUAUCUCCCUUACACCUUGGGCUACAAACACGCUACAAUGGCCGGUACAAAGGGCAGCCAAGUCGCAAGACGGAGCAAAUCCCAUCAAAGCCGGUCUCAGUUCGGAUUGUGGGCUGAAACCCGCCCGCAUGAAGCUGGAAUCGCUAGUAACGGUAGGUCAGCACUACUACCGUGAAUACGUUCCCGGGCCUUGUACACACCGCAUAC
rnacentral:rRNA from 1 species